rnacentral:lncRNA from 1 species
UAAACUGCUUUGUUCUUCUAGCACAUUUUCUUGUCUGCCUGCUUGCUGUGCAUUUUGUUCAACUCUUGCUCCUUGAUUUCCUUCUUGAAGCUCAGUAUGUUCCUUGUCCGUUCCACUUUCCUCUGGUUGAUUCUUGUUGGGUAACGUGAUUUUUGUUGACUUCUGCUUCUUUUUGUAGAAAUAAGUAAUCAAUGCUAUGAAAAGGGAGGAAGUUGAAGCAACUCCAGUAAAGAUGAAUAGUCCCCUGAAGUUGGCAAAGGUGAGUCUGCUUGAACCAGUGACAGGGCCCACAUUCUGGCAAUUGUCUUGAUCUCCAAUCCAUUUUUUCCCAAUUUCAAUCAUAAUAUCCCCUCCUGUUACGUUGAGGAUCGCCUUUGAGAUGUCACCAAGUAAGGGAUUUCCCUUUGAUAAUGCCUGUGGAAGAAAUAUGCCCAUUUUAUUGACUCGUUUACACCAAAAGAUAAUGCUGGAUCAUGCUUUGUCUGAUGCAAGUAAAGUAAAACUGUGUAAGCAUAAGUGGAAGUAUCAAUGUUAGUAAAACUACAUUCAGUAAUCUGUCUGGCCUUAACCCCAACGCAAGAUUAUUAUUAGGCAGUAGGCACAAUAAUUUAGUAGGUUUAUAUUAGAAGAAGAUAAUGAUAGUAUACACUCAUUUUUUUUGUGAGAAACAAAUUGAUUAACUUAUAUACUUCCUCUGUAGGGAUAUGAUGCGGAAAAAAGCAUAUAUGUCUAAUGCAUUUAAGCUUACAUAUCCAAAACCGGCAGCCUUAUAAAUUGGUCCCACCAUAGUAUACCCUUUGCAGUGGUUCGCCAGAAAUAGUUUAAUGUAUGGAACCUCAUGCACAAGAGCAGCGAUACCACCAUUGUUGCUUCCUCUGGAAAGUGCAUUGUGAAAAUCUUCAGGGGAGUCAUAGGCCUUGAUCUUUGACUUAUCAAAACCGAGUUCUUCCAAAAGUCCCUUUACGUACGAGCCACGAUGAUAUCCUACACAUUCUCCAGUUUUUAGGAGUUCAUGCACAUCUGUUACUGUUGGCUGAAGCUGUUGUACAGUUAGCAUUGAUGUCAAGCUCGCAGUGUAGCUUGAUGUAAGUACCAUCAGAAAAAACAGCCAGACCAUCAAAACUAUCCGGGACAGAAAUCGUUGCACAAGCUCUUCUGCAAAAAUUACGAUAAAAUAAAUAAAUAAUUCUUUCUUACCAUCUUGAUUCUGAAGUUGGAAACCACAACAUCCAUAUCAUAAUAAUUUGUCAAUAGUAGAACAUAAUUCUGUUUCAUGGUAUAGUAUAUGGUAACUACUUUUUCUCCUCUGUUUAGUACUUCCUCCGUUCCACAAAACACCUCAUAUAGAUUUGUGCACUUGAACCAAGACAACUCUCGUUUCUAGUGCCUGACCAUCCAUAUUGGAUUAAAAGUAAAUGAGUGAGCAGUUAUUGGCCGGUUGCAGGAACCAAGAGAAAAACAAGGUGUAUUGUGGAACAAAUGAGAAAACAAAUCAUACGAGGUGUUUUGUGGAAUGGAGGGAGUACGUUUUAAACAUCUGGUAUUAUGUUUACUACAGUGUAGUAAUGAAGCUACCACACUUUUAGAAAUGCAAAGUUACCCAAACCUGUUUUGAGACAUCUCAUACACAUUGUCCGUUUGUUAAUAAUUGUGGAGUUGUGUUAGUUGCAUCAGGAUUCUAUUCUCUUUUAUACUUUUAUGCACCAAAUGGAAAAUGCAUAUAUUGUAGUAACUGGUAGUGUACUAACUCUCUUCAAAUAUGGAGAAGAACAUCACAAUCCCCAGCUGUUUGGGAAUUGGCCCACGGACAUUCUUGUUGUUUCCUAGAAAUUCCAAUACUAAUACAACCACACCGGUGUAGAUAAAGAAUACAAUGCUUCCAAACCACAUGCCAGGUGCUAGUGGCUUCAAGAAAAUCCAUGUAUUCUUGUUUAUGUUAUCCCUGACUGGAACAACCAUAGCUAUUCCUGAUUCUGUGUAUGGCAGAGUGAAGUCGACAUAGAAAGUUCGGUUAUAUCUUAUUGUUAUAUCUCCAAUGACUAUAUCAUACAUCUGCAAGGGCCAAACAAAAAUGUUAGCUGAGGAGAUAGAAAAGAAUUUGUAACUUAAAUCCCCUUAUACUAAGAAUGCUAGAGCAGUAGUUGUGAAAUGUGGAAUCUGGAAAAUAAAUUAAGGAGUGAAAUGCACCCGAGGUCCCUAUUCUUUCGCGAAGGUGUCAAGUAGGUACCUAAUCUUUGAAAAUGCAUGUUUAGGUCCUCAUUGUUUGUUAAGUGGUUCAUCCUAGGUCCCUCACCUGUAUGCACAGCUGUGGCUGCAUGACGUGGCUGCCACCUAGCCUUUGGGCCCACACGUCAGGCGAUGACGUGGCGUUGCAAUCUUACAGACCCCCCCCCCCCACCUAUUCUCCUCUAAUUUCAUGGCCCUCUCUCCUCCUCACCUAACUGGCGUUCGACGAGGCGACGCGCUAGGCGGCGGAGGGGGCUGUAAGAUUGCAACGCCACGUCGUCGCCUGGCGUGUGGGCCCAAAACCUAGGUGGCAGCCACGUCAUGCGGCCGGAGCUGACAUGCGAGGGACCUGGGAUGAACCACUUAACAAACAAUGAGGACCUAAACGUGCAUUUUCAAAGAUUAGGGACCUACUUGACACCUUCGCGAAAGAAUAGGGACCUCGGGUGCAUUUUACUCUAAAUUAAGGGUACCACUCAAUACUCAAUAGAUAGUUGCACUUGCUCACUCCAUAUGUCGUUGCCAUGUGAAAUAAGUUUUUGUACUGUCUUCUCUCAUCAAAUAGGAGUUCCCGUUAGUGUCUAAAGUGUAUUACCAUGUAAGGUGUUACACACUGAAAAAAUCAUGUGGCAUCAUGCUUAGGUUGUCAUGAAAAUACGAAAAAUAGAUGAUGAGACUACCCUAUAUGCAUAGCUUCCUCAAAAGCAAGGGAAGGAGUCCAAUAAUAUGGAAUAACUGUAGAAUAUCUAUAACGUCCUUCGUCGUUCAAUAGAAUAUUCAGUACCAUGCUCCUAAGGUUAAAUGGCAUGUUUGCAAGUUUGGUUUGAUGCUUCAAGGUCUCGACUAUUUACUAACUAAAGAAAAUCAAGUAGAGAAUACACAGGUCUUGAAAUCUUUCAUACCUCAAGAUAAACUUGGUAGACAAAAUCAUUGUAAUCUUCGCUACUUCCGUCAUUCUUAGUACUAAAUAUUACAUAUUCAUAAGGGAGUGCAUAAGGAAGUCUCUUAACUGCCUCUUCAAAUACAUCAACUGAAAAACCGAUUGCUUUAGUUGAACCAGUGAUAUGAUCCUUUUCGGCCUUCAUAAACUCUGGAUAUCCACUUGUGCACACACCGACUUGAAGUUUCUUCCCGCUUACAGGAAUCUCAAAACCCCGGGGUAUCUCUAUGGAUUCUCCUGGCCAGAUCACAGGAUUUAGAUUACUCACUGAGCCCAAAUGCGUUGUUGCGGAUCUAGUUUUAUUUAAUUGUUGCGAAAUUCCAUUUUGUGCAGUCCAGAAUCCGAUUUCUCUCCAUCCUUUUCCUACUACAUUUAUUAUUCGAAAUGUCAAAAUUUGUAGCUGCCUGUCUGAAAGGUCAAAAUUGCCACUGAGACCUCUAAAUUUGUUCAUUGUGAUGGCCUGUAAUAGUUCUGCACCAUUACUAGAUGUUUCCAAGGUUUCCAAGCUCGUUAACUUUCUUGUGACACCUGGUGUUUUAAAUGUGGCAUUGACAAGUCCAGCUUUUUCUGCAGCUUGUGCUACUGCCCAGAUUGUGUCAUAGCUCCACAGUCCAAAGAUGCUUAAUUUUAAUGGUGGUGCGGUUGGGUUGUCAAUUUGGAACCUCAUAUUCCAUCUCAUGGUGA